GGAUCAUAGCUCAGUGGUAGAGCACUUGCCUUGGGAGCAGAAGGUCCCGGGUUCAAUCCCCCACAUCUCCA